AACAUGAGUUUCGGCAGGUUCUAGUGGCGGACGGGUGAGUAACGCGUGGGUACCUGCCUUAUACAGGGGGAUAACAGUCAGAAAUGACUGCUAAUACCGCAUAAGACCGCAUGGUAAAAACUCCGGUGGUAUAAGAUGGACCCGCGUUGGAUUAGCUUGUUGGUGGGGUAACGGCUCACCAAGGCGACGAUCCAUAGCCGGCCUGAGAGGGUGAACGGCCACAUUGGGACUGAGACACGGCCCAGACUCCUACGGGAGGCAGCAGUGGGGAAUAUUGCACAAUGGGGGAAACCCUGAUGCAGCGACGCCGCGUGAAGAAGAAGUAUCUCGGUAUGUAAAUUCUAUCAGCAGGGAAGAUAGUGACGGUACCUGACUAAGAAGCCCCGGCUAACUACGUGCCAGCAGCCGCGGUAAUACGUAGGGGGCAAGCGUUAUCCGGAUUUACUGGGUGUAAAGGGAGCGUAGACGGACUGGCAAGUCUGAUGUGAAAGGCGGGGGCUCAACCCUGGACUGCAUUGGAAACUGUUAGUCUUGAGUGCCGGAGAGGUAAGCGGAAUUCCUAGUGUAGCGGUGAAAUGCGUAGAUAUUAGGAGGAACACCAGUGGCGAAGGCGGCUUACUGGACGGUAACUGACGUUGA
rnacentral:rRNA from 1 species